AUUGAACGCUGGCGGCAUGCCUUACACAUGCAAGUCGAACGGCAGCAUGGAAGAGCUUGCUCUUCUGAUGGCGAGUGGCGAACGGGUGAGUAAAGCAUCGGAACGUACCGUGUAGUGGGGGAUAACGUAGCGAAAGUUACGCUAAUACCGCAUACGCACUGAGGUGGAAAGCAGGGGGAUCGACAAGUACCUUGCGCUAUACGAGCCGGCCGAUGUCAGAUUAGCUAGUUGGUAAGGGUAAAGGCCUACCAAGGCGACGAUCUGUAGCGGGUCUGAGAGGAUGAUCCGCCACACGUGGGACUGAGACACGG
rnacentral:rRNA from 1 species